AAUACAUUGGUAGAGGAGCAUUCUUAAAGGAAUGAAGCAGUACCGAUAAGGAGCUGUGGACUUUUAAGAAGAGAGAAUGCCGGAAUGAGUAGCGAGAUGGAGGUGGGAAUCCUCCAGGCCGAAUAUCCAAGGUUUCCAGAGUAAAGCUGAUCUGCUCUGGGUAAGUCGGGGCCUAAGGUAAGGCUGAGAAGCGUAGCCGAUGGACAACAGGUUGAGAUUCCUGUACCGCGUAUCAUCAGAACUGUGGGGACACAGAAGGACAGCACAACCCGGGAAUGGAAAGACCGGGGCAAGCAGGGUAGGAGUUAAGCUGGCAAAUCCGCUUAACAAUCCGAAGCUGUGAUGCGGAGCGAAUUUAAGUAGUGAAGUGUGCGAUUCCGGCUGUCAAGAAAAGCCGCUAUUGUGUGAUACGUGCCCGUACCGUAAACCGACACAGGUAGAUGAGGAGAGAAUCCUAAGGCCGGCGGGAGAAGCAUUGUUAAGGAACUCGGCAAAAUGACCCUGUAACUUCGGGAGAAAGGGUGCCUGGGAAACCAGGCCGCAGAGAAUAGGCUCAAGCAACUGUUUAGCAAAAACACAGGUCUAUGCAAAACCGUAAGGUGAGGUAUAUGGGCUGACGCCUGCCCGGUGCUGGAAGGUUAAGAGGAGGGGUUAGCGCAAGCGAAGCUCUGAAUUGAAGCCCCAGUAAACGGCGGCCGUAACUAUAACGGUCCUAAGGUAGCGAAAUUCCUUGUCGGGUAAGUUCCGACCCGCACGAAAGGCGUAAUGAUUUGAGCGCUGUCUCGACAAUGCACCCGGUGAAAUUGAAAUACCAGUGAAGAUGCUGGUUACCUGCGCCAGGACGGAAAGACCCCAUGGAGCUUUACUCCAGCUUGAUACUGGGAUUCGGUACUGCAUGUACAGGAUAGGUGGGAGACUGAGAACUAUGAACGCCAGUUUGUAGGGAGUCGCUGUUGGGAUACCACCCUUGCGGUAUUGGAUUUCUAACCUGCAGCCGUGAACCGGCUGGGGGACAAUGUCAGGCGGGGAGUUUGACUGGGGCGGUCGCCUCCGAAAGGGUAUCGGAGGCGCUCAAAGGUUCCCUCAUAAUGGUUGGAAACCAUUAGAAGAGUGCAAAGGCAUAAGGGAGCUUGACUGCGACACCGACGGGUGGAGCAGGUAGGAAACUAGGACUUAGUGAUCCGGUGGUAUGAAAGUGGGAUUGCCAUCGCUCAACGGAUAA
rnacentral:rRNA from 1 species